GGUAGCGUGGCCGAGCGGUCUAAGGCGCUGGGUUUAAGGCACCAGUCUCUUCGGGGGGCGUGGGUUCGAAUCCCACCGCUGCCA
rnacentral:tRNA from 1 species